rnacentral:tRNA from 1 species
GAGAAUUUUUAUAUUAUCGCUGCUAACGAUGAUUUGAAUACUCAUAGUAUUCGAUUCUCU